rnacentral:lncRNA from 1 species
AAUAACUUAACAACUUAAAUUAGAAAAAAAAAUAAAUAUCCCGGACGUAGCCCGGGUAAAUCCCUAGUUAACUAAUUACACAAAAAGUGAAAAAAUGUUGCAGUCUUAAUAUGGAAAAUAAUAUAUUUAGUUUGUUUAGAUUCAGACUUCGUAAAAUUUUGAAAAUUAAAUUAUUAUUUGUAACAAAUUUACAAAACUUAAGCAUAAUAUCUGUUUACUAUUUUUAAAAACAGAUUUCGUAUGAAAUAUAGUUAGGGUAUGCACU